UGGCGCAGUUGGUAGAGCAUGGUGUUUGCAACGCCAGGGUUGUGGGUUUGAUUCCCAC
rfam:Salmo salar isolate Sally breed double haploid chromosome ssa22, whole genome shotgun sequence.